rnacentral:ncRNA from 3 species
AGCGGGGAAAGAAGACCCUG